rnacentral:lncRNA from 1 species
UCCCAGCCCUGGCUGCACUCUGCUAAGGAGCCGUGCCGGGCGCGCAGGUGUUUCUGCCGAGCGAGCGCCCCGGCGAGCCCGAGACCCGCUCCCGUGGGCAGCUGAUGAGAGAGGGGCCGAGGCCCGUGUGGGAGGGCUGCCGGGAGUGGAGCAGCUGCAGGUGCUGCUGGUCAUGAUCGUAUCCUUCCUAGGGCUGGACUGAAAUCUACAGUAGCUCGGAUCAUGCCGAAUGCURUGCACAGUGCUGCUGUUUCAGUGUGGGGAUGACAGAGCGUCUUUAUCAGCUGUCUUGCAGUCUGAACUCUUUUCAGCAGUGUCUAAGUUGCCAUUCCACUCAACUGUGAUGACUGAACAAGAUCACAGGACCGGAUCCUCACAAGGACCUAUAUGCUGA